GACUCGGUGGCGCAACGGUAGGGCUUCUGACUCCAGAUCGGAAGGCUGCGUGUUCAAAUCACGUCCGGGUCA
rnacentral:tRNA from 13 species